rnacentral:rRNA from 1 species
GAUGAACGCUGGCGGCGUGCCUAAUACAUGCAAGUCGAGCGAACGGACGAGAAGCUUGCUUUUCUGAUGUUAGCGGCGGACGGGUGAGUAACACGUGGAUAACCUACCUAUAAGACUGGGAUAACUUCGGGAAACCGGAGCUAAUACCGGAUAAUAUUUUGAACCGCAUGGUUCAAAAGUGAAAGACGGUCUUGCUGUCACUUAUAGAUGGAUCCGCGCUGCAUUAGCUAGUUGGUAAGGUAACGGCUUACCAAGGCAACAAUGCAUAGCCGACCUGAGAGGGUGAUAGGCCACACUGGAACUGAGACACGGUCCAGACUCCUACGGGAGGCAGCAGUAGGGAAUCUUCCGCAAUGGGCGAAAGCCUGACGGAGCAACGCCGCGUGAGUGAUGAAGGUCUUCGGAUCGUAAAACUCUGUUAUUAGGGAAGAACAUAUGUGUAAGUAACUGUGCACAUCUUGACGGUAACUAAUCAGAAAGCCACGGCUAACUACGUG